AUCCCAUGACCUUCUUGAUAUCUUCUGCUUUUUUAAGGAUAUCAAAUCAAUCAAAUCAAAUGGAGUGUUUAAGUUGGAUGUAUUUGGGAAUACUUUCCCUGCUCUUCUUGCAUUCUCAGUUCUCCUUUUCUUUUUCUUCUUCUUCAAACUCACCAUGCUCUGCUCUACUCCAUUUUAAUCACUCUCUUUCUCUCGAUAGCGGUGCUUCUUUUCCUCUUGAUGGAUAUGAUUAUGCACCUAAUCUUCAGAUGUGUCUUAAUUCUUAUCCAAAGACAGGGUCUUGGAAGGAGGAUAAAGACUGCUGCACUUGGGAUGGUGUCAUCUGUGACAACACCACUCGCCAUGUCAUUGGCCUUGACCUUAGUUGCAGUUGGCUUUCUGGCUCCAUUUCUUCCAACAGUACUCUCUUCCUUCUUCGCCAUCUCAGGACCUUGAAUCUCGCUGGGAAUAGCUUCGAACCCUCCCUAAUUUCAUCUGAGUUUGGCAGGUUUCAGAGUUUGACUCAUCUUAACUUAUCUAAUUCCUAUUUUACUGGUGAAAUCCCAUAUGAAAUCUCCCAAUUGUCUUCGCUUGUUUCACUUGAUCUUUCUUACAAUUUACAUUUAUUAAUCAAAACACCAGUUUGGAAAAGAGUCAUUGGUAACCUUACCCAGUUAAGGGAACUUCUUCUGGAUCAGACAGAUAUGUCCUUAAUUGCACCUAAUUCUUCGAUGAUGAAUCUAUCCUCUUUGACAACUCUUAGUCUCCGUGGUUGUAGCUUGCAGGGAACACUCGAAAUAAACAUCUUCCGCCUUCCAUGUAUGCAAACCCUUGAUGUUGGGUUUAAUCCAAAUCUUGAAGUUUCUCUUUCAAAGUCUAAUUGGAGCAAUAGUUCCUUCAAGUUCUUAUCUCUCUUUACGACAAACUUGUCGGGUGAAUUACCUGAUUCUAUCGGCAGUCUAAAGUCCUUAAAGUAUUUGUUUCUCAAUAAUUGCAAUUUUACUGGGACAAUUCCAACCUCACUUGGAAACCUCACUCAAAUUAUUUAUUUGGAUCUGUCAUAUAAUAGUUUCAGCGGUUUGCUGCCGUUGUCAAUAUUUGACUUGCCGAAUCUCUCCUUUUUAGACCUUCGCCACAAUCAACUUGUUGGCCCCCUUCCUAAUCACGUAAGUGGUUUGAAUCUUCUAAUUCAUCUCUCUUUAAGUUCCAAUUUCCUAAAUGGGACACUCCCAUCUUGGUUAUUCAGUUUGACCUCUUUGAGGUCGUUAACUCUUGAUCAUAAUCAAUUCAUUGGUGAGAUUGGGGAAUUCAAGUAUAAUAAUUCCUUGGACAACCUUGAUUUGAGCUAUAAUAUGCUACAGGGCUCUAUUCCUAGGUCAAUAUCGAGACUUUUGAGCCUUACUUCUCUAUCUCUCUCAUCAAAUAAUCUAAGUAUUUUGUUGGACUUAGAAUUGUUCUCAAACCACAAAUAUCUCAAUGUUGUCAAUUUUUCAUCUAACAAUUUAUUAGUCAGCAUCAACAAUAAUCUAACAUUUACCUUGCCCAACCUGAGGAUGUUGUACUUGUCUUCUUGCAACAUUAGUGAAUUCCCAAUUUUCCUAAGAACAGCAACAAAUUUACAACACUUAGACCUUUCCAAUAACAGAAUUCAUGGUCAAACUCCAAAAUGGUUAGGAGCUGUGGGGAGGAAUUCAUUACAUUUUCUGGAUCUUUCUCACAACUUUUUGACAAGUAUAGAUAAGAUUCCUUGGAAGAACCUACAAUUUGUUGAUCUUCAUAAGAACUUGCUUCAAGGACCAUUCCCCACGUUAAAUGCUCUUAAACUUCAUUAUCUCCUUGCCUCCAAUAACAAUUUAACUGGGGAAAUUCCUUCUUUAUUUUGCAAUGCAAGUUUCCUUGAAAUUCUAGAUUUGUCUUAUAACAACUUUAGUGGCACAAUUCCAAAGUGUUUGGUACUCUCUAAUGUACUCUCAGUAUUGGAUUUGCGAAUGAAUAGCCUUAAUGGUACCAUACCUGCAACAUUUUCAAAGGGAAGCACUUUGAGGAAUAUUAACCUUAAUGGCAAUCAAUUGGAAGGGCCAUUGCCACGAUCUUUGGAAAAUUGUACAAACUUAGAAAGUCUAGAUCUUGGAAACAAUAAGAUAAAUGGCACCUUCCCCUACUGGUUGGGAAGUAUUCUAAAACUGCAGGUUCUAGUCAUUAGAUCAAAUAAAUUUCGAGGUCGUAUAGGCAAUCCUAAGACCCAAUUUCCUUUCUUAAAUUUGCGAAUCCUAGACAUCUCUUGCAAUGAUUUUAAUGGUCCUUUGCCAAGAAUUUUUUUCAAAUAUUUGAAAGCUAUGAUGAAUGUGACUAAAGGAGAAGUUGGGUUGAAAUAUAUGGGAGAGGAGUAUUAUCAUGAUUCUUUGAAUGUGACGAUCAAAGGGUCGAAUAUUGAGUUGGAGAGAAUCCAAACCCUCUUCACAACCAUUGAUUUUUCAAACAAUAGAUUCAUAGGAGAGAUGCCACAAAUAAUUGGAAGGCUUAAAUCACUCAAGGGACUCAACUUUUCUCACAAUAACCUUACAGGUUGUAUUCCAUCAUCUUUUGGAAAUUUGACUAAUCUUGAAUGGUUAGACCUCUCUUUCAACAAGCUCGGUGGGGAGAUUCCCAAGCAAUUAGCAGAUCUUCCGUGGCUUGAAGUUUUAAAGCUAUCACAUAACCAACUUGUAGGACACAUACCUUUAGGGAAGCAAUUUGAUACAUUCGACAAUGAUUCAUACAUCGAGAACUCUGGAUUAUGUGGAUAUCCAUUAUCAAGAACAUGCAACCACCACGAGUCAAAGCAACCACCACCAUCAACCUUGCAACAAGAAGACAACUUAGAGCCUAAAAAUGGGUUUGGUUGGCAAGCUGUAUCAAUAGGUUAUGGAUGUGGAGUGAUAUUUGGAACAUUAAUGGGAUAUCUUAUGUUUAAAAUUGGAAAACCAAAGUGGAUUGUGAGGAUGGUCAAACUAGAGCAACAUAUCUUGCUUAGAAGGCUGAAGAAUAAUGCCCGCAGAAGUGGUGGAAGAAAUUAACAAGUCAAAACAAUUUAUGAGUAGAUUUGUUAGAGUUUUUGAAGAAAAUGUCAAAGGCAUGUUGUAACUUUUUGUAAUUCGUGGAAAUCACUCCUAUUUCAUGAAAAGGGUGGGAGUCCAGGUAGAAUGCAUCUCUUGUGUGUUAUUUCAUUUCUAGAUAAUGGAAUUUUUUUCAACCAUGGAAGAAAUUACGGACAGGCUGGAAUCUGACUCCAAUGGAAAAGAAGAAACAUACUCUGAAUUGGACUGAGACGGCAAAACCCAACAGAAAAUGGAGCUCUCCCCCAAUUCCUUCCAUGUGUCAAAAUUGGGAUAAAGAUGAAGCUUCUCUUUCUACUUGCCAUCUUCAUCAUCCUUAUUCACUCUCAUCUUCUUCAUCUUUCAUGGUUCCCAAAGACAUAGGACACCAUUCAUUGCCGAGCUGGUUGGUGUUGUUGCUGUUGAAAUAAUUGGUGCAUAGUUUCUACUUUGCUUAGCAUAAAAUGCCCAGUAACGUGCAAGGUCGAUACCUCUUAUGUUUCGGAACAUAUCAAUAACCACUAUGCUCUUGAAUAGUUCAAGGCCUCUGUGUAGACACAAUAGUUGGUAUGCAAAAGGUUAGUUUUCUUCCAUGCUUGAGAGGAGGAUUUGGAGCUUUUUUGUGGAUCUAUAGGGGAGGUUACUAAGGUUCGGAUUAUGAAAGGCAAAGAUUCUGAUCAGAUUAUGAAAGGCAAAGAUUCUGAUGAGAACAAGGGCUUUGCAUUUGUGACCUUUAGAAGUGCAGAAAUAGCUUCUAAAGCCAUUGAUGAGCUGAAUAAUACUGAAUUCAAGAAGCUGGGGCGAGCAGGAUCUAAGGAAGGUUGUGCUGGAGGUUGGGCCUUGAGUUAUACUGCUGUGGAACUUGUUAAGGAUGCAAAGAAUCCAAGCAAUAGUCGGGGCUUUGCUUUUGUUGACUACCUAACCAAGCAUGUGCUGAGUAUUCAAGGCAGAAGGUAAAGGCAGUGUAUGUGAAGAAUUUACAGAAGAAUGUUACCUAGGACCAGCUAAAGAAGCUAUUUGAACAUCAUGGAAAAAUCACAAAAAGUGGUUCUGCCCCCAGAAAAAUCUGGACAGGAAAGCUGAUAAGCUGCAGUCCUCUUUGUUCAUAUUGUUAAGGCACAAAGCCCAACAAUUCAGACACUAUCUAUCAUUAACUAUAUGUUGCAUUUACUCUCAAAGUAUGGUUUAAGCUUCAACAGUUCCAACUUUUUCAACUAUGGCUUUCCAAUGCCAGAGAGAUGGUGAAGAUGCCUAGGCUAAGUCCCCGCAUUUUUUCAAGAUUAUCCUGGCUGACACUCUUCUAGAAGGAAAGCUUAGGGUACCAAGAAAGUUUAUUAGCAAAUAUGGAGGUGGUCUGUCAAAUACUGCAUAUCUUAAGCUUCCCCACGGUGCAGAAACGAAAGUAGAAUUGACAAAUAGCGAUGGUGAGGUUUGGUUUCAAAAUGGUUAGCAUGAAUUUGCAAACUAUCACUCUCUAAAGCAGGGGCACUUGCUAGUUUUAAGAUAUGAAGGAAAUUCCCACUUUUAUGUACUCAUAUUUGAUAAGAGUGCAACAGAAAUAGACUAUUCUUUUGAUGACAAACUCCAAGUGCCAAAGAUGGAAGACAUUGAGAGUGAUGAUAACUCUGUUGAAAUCUUGGGUGACCUUCACCCAAAGUCAAAAAACAAGGAAGAAAUCGCCAUUAUCAUGUCCUUUGCCAAAUAAGUGGGCAAAAACCAAUCCAAGAAGUUCCAAGUUACAACCAGGGGAUCCACAUUUCAGGGCUGAAGUAACUAAAGCUACAGGGACAAUGUUAGAGAAAUAAAAAAUGAAUGCAGGGUUACCUUAUAAAG